GCAAUGUGCCAGGUGCUGGGGAUACACGAGCGAACACACAGCAUCCCUGCCCUCCCGGGGCUCACAUUCUAAAGGGGGAGACAGACACAGUCAACAAGUGAACAGACAGUCAACAAGUGAACAGAAGGUGGAGUGACCCCGUUCCAAGUCCCAAAGUUAAGAGCGCCCACUUCAGAGCCAAGGCGGACCCCGGGCUGAAAUCUAGGCUUACCGACUGUGUGACCUUGGGCAGGUGACUUUGCCUCUGCGCGCCUCAGUCUCCUCGUCUGAACGAUGGGGUAACAAUAGCGCCUACCUAACAGGGCUGUCGCUGCCAUCACGUUUGUGGGGCCCAGCAGAGCGCGGUGGGCGCCGAGCAGCUGCUGCGGCUGACACCCCUGUCGCUGACUGGGGCGAGUCAACAGUAUCUCCUCCUCAUGUAUCAAGUCUACUGCUGUCCCACUGCCACCUCAUCUGAUUCUCCAGCUCUCCUGUGAUCAGGUGGGGAGUGAUGAGAGAGAGGGCACCCCAAGGCUGGGGUGGGUCUCCGCGCCCUUCGCCUGGGCAGGCAGCACUACAAGCCGCCAGCAGAGGGAGCUGCCUGGAAGCACGUGGCCAACCACCUGGCCCUUCGCAGGAAAGGUCUAGACUCCAGGGUCCUCAAUGUGGUAGCCACUGGCCACAGGUGCCAGUCCAGCCACUUGAAACAUGGCUAGUCCAAGCUGAGAUGUUGUGUGUGUGUAGAACAGACACUGGAUUACACUAAUUGGAUAUAAAAAAUGUUUUUAAAAUCUCAUUAAUGUCUGUAUAUUAACUGAUAAAAUGAUAAUUGUCAAAUAUGCUGGGUUAAAGAAAAUAUCUUAUUAAAAU